rfam:Eucalyptus grandis cultivar BRASTZ1 unplaced genomic scaffold scaffold_5, whole genome shotgun sequence.
GAACGUGAUGAUAGAUGUUUUGACACCCAGUCUUACUUGCAUCAGCAGAUGCAUUGGUGGUGAUUAACACUGUUCUGAUUC